rnacentral:rRNA from 1 species
UACAGAGGGGGCAAGCGUUGUUCGGAAUUACUGGGCGUAAAGGGCGCGUAGGCGGCCCGCUAAGUCGAACGUGAAAUCCCCGAGCUCAACUCGGGAACUGCGUCCGAUACUGGAAGGCUUGAAUCCGGGAGAGGGAUGCGGAAUUCCAGGUGUAGCGGUGAAAUGCGUAGAUAUCUGGAGGAACACCGGUGGCGAAGGCGGCAUCCUGGACCGGUAUUGACGCUGAGGCGCGAAAGCUAGGGGAGCAAACGGG